AAAGUCGUAACAAGGUUUCCGUAGGUGAACCUGCGGAAGGAUCAUUACACUCAGUAGAUUUCUACUGGUCUAGGGGAGCGGAAACUUUUCCAGGCUGCUUCGGCGCUUGGGUCUACGAGUACGCUCUCUGUCUAUACCCUUGUCUUUUUGCGUACUCAUGUUUCCUCGGCGGGCCUGCCCGCCGGCUGGACAACUCUAUAACCUUUUUCAUUUUCAAUCAGCGUCUGAAUAAUUAUAAUAAUUACAACUUUCAACAACGGAUCUCUUGGUUCUG
rnacentral:misc_RNA from 1 species